CUGAGUUUCUCGCCGGAUGCAACCUCCACUGUAACCUUCUUGUUUGUUGCAGGUUGUAAAUUCAGUUUGGUGGCGAGCCGUUCACUCACAAAAUUAUGAGUACUUCCUGAAUCGAGUAACACCACUGUGGAUACAGUACUAAUGGCACCACGCACUCUCAUGGUCUUAGGAGCAUCUGACCCACUCAUAGCAUGUAAUGAUAUUCCAGGAACUUCAUCUUCUUCAACUAACUCCACAUCCAUGACGACAUCACCAUCAUUUUCAUCGUUGCAUGCUUCGAUCAAGAAUAGCUUUUUGCACAUGUGUCCUGGUGCAAAUUUGUCGUUACAAUUGUAACAACCAUUUAUCUCGUAUCUCCUUAAGUUCAGCUGGAGACAUGCGUCGGAUUGCUGAUGGGUGACUUGAGCUACUCUCCUCCUUAUUCACCCUUUGAGGGAUAUUUGUAUUUGUCGACAGUGAACGCCUUUGAGAAAGAUUCUGAGCUUCAUACAAUCUGGCUAAACCAAUUGUAGUGGAUAGGUCCACAGGUGUCCCAGCCAAAACAUCAGCCUUGAUUCCUUCCUUCAAACCACUGAUAAAGCAACUUACUUGUCGGGUUGGUGGUAAAUGGCCUGCCUUAGCUAAGAGAUGCUCAAAUCGGGACUGGUAGUCCCUUAUGGAACCGAUUUGUUGUAGCUUUGUAAGCUCCCCAAAAUAAUCAUAGCAUUGUGUCGGCCCAUAUCUAGCCAACAAUCCUGCUUUAAAAACAUCCCAGAUCACCACGUUGUUCUCUUGCUGAAGGAGCUGAUACCAUAACUGGGCUUCACCUUCCAAGUGAAAGGAGGCUAGACCCACUUGGUCUGUUGUCGAUGUAUCUUGGAACCAAAAGAACUGCUCAGCUCUACAAAUCCAACUUGUUGGAUCUUCUCCUCCGUUGAAACGAGGAAAGUCAAGUUUUACACGGGGAGCAUAAGUUUGGUUGCUUCCGUUGGUGUGAGCACCACUGUGGAAGCUUCCUUGUCAAUCCUUGCGAAGUCUCGCAG
rnacentral:lncRNA from 1 species